UAGGUAGGUAGGUAGGUAGGUAGAUGAUAGAUAGAUAAACAGACAGACAGAGAGACUUCCCUCGUGCUGCUUCUUUUAAUAAGCCCAAUGGUCUCCUGUUUUAGUCAUUUGAGGUAGAAGAUUUCCGGGGCAUGAAAUAAAACUCUUGGGGUUAAUCUGUAGCAAAGCACCAGUCAAACUGGACAGGGAGCAUUCAAGACAAGGUUCUGAAGGUGGGGGAAUGCUUUAAAAUCAAAGCAAGAACAAUUUAGCAGGAGCAGAGAGAGAUUUCAUACCUUGCCGCCCUCAACAAAGAGUCACUGCAUCUUUGAAAGAAUUUGAACAGGGAACUGCCGGUUUUAUUUUGUCUCAGUAAAAAAACGUAAAUGUUAAAAGACCACCAUAAUUUUAUGCAUCACAGUAAGCCACGGUUUGCUUUACCCUCGAUUGCUAAGUAAACCAUAAUUUACUGCAGCCCUGUAUAUUGUACUAAGCCACAAACCGUGGUUAAACAAGCACGCUUGACUUCAUAUUACAAAGUAAACCAAGCAGAUGUUGGUUUGUUAGGAUAUAUGAUCCAGGCUAUGCACAUUAAAUACGUCUGUGCAUUUAAGAUAUCAGAAGGGUGUUUUCCCCUUCUAAUUGCAAAACAACGAAUUGGCACUUGCAGGAGAAAUACUAAAUUCACUCAAAAUCCUUGGACCUCCUUAUUGAUGCCAACAAUAGUUAAGAAAAGCACCCUGGUUUAAAAAUACCUGCAUUGAUGUUGCAGUGAUCUGCUAUCGAAUACCUGAUUUUAUUAAUCAUCUGAUUUGCUAAAAAAAAAACUAUUUUGAAAAAAAAACCAGGCUGGUCUCAUAGAAGAAAAGAAAAAGAAAAAAAAACCAAAUGUCUUAUUGAAUGAUCUGAUCUUCCUUUUCCUCCUCCAGACGAAACUGAUUCUGGAAAUCGGCCUAUUCCGAAACCGCAUGUUCCUAUAUUCGGUGUUAGGAUCUAUUUUGGGUCAAAUGGCUGUUAUAUACAUCCCUCCCUUGCAAAAGAUCUUCCAGACAGAGAGUUUACGAGCCUUGGACCUGUUGUUCCUCACCGCCCUGGCGUCUUCAGUCUUCAUCCUCUCGGAACUGGUCAAAGUGUGCGAGAAAUAUUGCUGCGGGUCAAAGGCGGAGCAGAGACCGCUGGAAAUGGUCUGACGAAUAGGGACGCGCCUUGUGUCGACGGCGUGAGGGCAAAGACCACGGGGGGUGCAGAGGAACGGUCAAAUAGGAGACCGCGUAGCCCUCAGCGGCAUAAGGGAUUGGGGAAGACCUUCCGAAGAGGCCCCUUCCCUAGUUUCUCAGUCUGUAAAGGUGAGGGCAGAAGACUCGUAUUUCCAGACCUGAAAAGUUCUGCACAACGUAACUUCACAACAAAGUGGAAUUAAGCUCAUCGGGUCGUGAAUGAUUACGACAACUGGCUAACCUGGCACGGCUGGAACCUUGCCCCCACCCCCAAUUGAGUUCAAAGGGGAUGUCAGAUUCUGCAAAGCCCUCGGGAGUCAAUCUCAGAAGGUUCCCCAACUCUUAAUCACAAGCUGAUCCCAUCACCGGCCAUCCGCUCCUGCAAAGUUAAAACGAUGCCUGGAUGCCAUCUGACAAUUGUGUCCCCCUUCAAAACAGGUCCCCCAAAAUGGCCUGCUUUUAUUUAUUUAAGAUGUAAUAAAAGACACUUGUUCAUAAAGUCUGCCUUGGUUUCUCCUGGGGUUGGGUCAACGGGGUAUUGCAAUCUUGGUGUUCAAUUAGGUUUUAAAAAAAAACAAAAAACAGUGGCUGGAUUCACACAUUUACAGUCUGCUACUUCACGAAGCUGGAAAUUCACAAGCCAACAUCUGUCCAGUCUCUUAAAAACUUGGCCUGAACCUGAUUCAAUUGUUUAUAGUGGUAUGAUUAAUUCAGUUAUGAAAUCCUGAUUUCUGGAUAUGGCACCUCAGCAGUCACACACACGCACCCAAAUUAUGUUUUUUAUGGAGCACUUAAAUUUCCCCCAGCAAAAUACAAAUCGAUUUGCACGGAAGACAUUUGGGUUUUGAGAACUCCUGUGAGUGAACUGGAGUCUCUCCAAGGAAUACUGGAAGUUUCGCACACCAAAAUAAAUGUGAAAAGAAGAAAAAGAAGGCCCUGAAUUUAGAAGAAAUGCAUGCUCCAAUCCCUGGGGAGAGGAGGAGGAAAAAAAACGCCCUGCAGAUAAAGACAUCCAAAGUUUGCAAAGACACCAAUUGUUAUUUUACCGAAUCUCACCGCGCUUAAAGAGAUUGGACAACGGAUACCGACGUGUGGAAAAUAGAAAGCUCAGGGGGGGCGUUCCAGCAAGAUCCCGGUCAGACUUGGGGAGGAAAAAAAAGAUUCCGAGGUGAGAUCUCAGUUGUCUUCUCCGUCAUCAUCGGGUGGUUUGCGAAACCCGUCACUCUGCCGGCUUUUCCCCAUCAUCUCCAGCAAGGCUUGGGCCUCUGGAUCGGUAUCUAAGAUGCUCUUUUGGCCUCUUCCCUAAAGCCAAA